rnacentral:rRNA from 1 species
ACUGGGAGAGGUCAACAGAUACUGCCAGGCUAGAGUAUGGGAGAGGGUACUGGAAUUCCCGGUGUAGCGGUGAAAUGCGCAGAUAUCGGGAGGAACACCAAUGGCGAAAGCAGGUACCUGGACCGUUACUGACGCUCAGCUGCGAAAGCUAGGGGAGCAAACAGGAUUAGAUACCCUGGUAGUCCUAGCUGUAAACGAUGCACAUUAGAUGUGGGGGGUAUCGACCCCCUCCGUAUCGACGCAAACGCAUUAAAUGUGCCGCCUGGGGAGUACGGCCGCAAGGCUGAAACUCAAAGGAAUUGACGGGGGCCCGCACAAGCGGUGGAGCAUGUGGUUCAAUUCGACGCAACGCGAAGAACCUUACCUGGGCUCGAAAUGCAGGAGACCGGGGUAGAAAUAUCCCUUUCCGCAAGG